rnacentral:rRNA from 1 species
GGUGAACGCUGGCGGUAGGCCUAACACAUGCAAGUCGAACGGCAGCACAGGAGAGCUUGCUCUCUGGGUGGCGAGUGGCGGACGGGUGAGGGAUACAUCGGAAUCUACUUUUUCGUGGGGGAUAACGUAGGGAAACUUACGCUAAUACCGCAUACGACCUACGGGUGAAAGCAGGGGAUCUUCGGACCUUGCGCGAUUGAAUGAGCCGAUGUCGGAUUAGCGAGUUGGCGGGGUAAAGGCCCACCAAGGCGACGAUCCGUAGCUGGUCUGAGAGGAUGAGCAGCCACAGUGGAACUGAGACACGGUCCAGACUCAUACGGGAGUCAGCAGUGGGGAAUAUUGGACAAUGGGCGCAAGCCUGAUCCAGCCAUACCGCGUGGGUGAAGAAGGCCUUCGGGUUGUAAAGCCCUUUUGUUGGGAAAGAAAUCCAGCUGGUUAAUACCCGGUUGGGAUGACGGUACCCAAAGAAUAAGCACCGGCUAACUUCGUGCCAGCAGCCGCCGUAA